AAAAAUAAUAUGCAUAAAAAGAGGAGGCCGGGCUAGCUUAAGGCUUACGCCUCUCCGUCGACUAAGACUCUACGUGCCUGGCCUUAACAUCUUUCUCCAAACUCUCACCGUCCUAGUGCUCAUAACAAAGGUGAACUGACCGCCGGCCGGCCGGCUUCUACAAGCUUGUGUUUGCAGGUUUACAGGAUGAGUUGUUUUCCGGCAAAGGUGAUGGCAACAGUAAUAGUAGCAGUAUUCCUUCUUGUGGGUGAUAUUCCAGCAACUUCUGCAUCACUUCCUUACGGUGGUCGAAAGAGAUUAUGGCUUGAUGGCUCGACGAAGAUAGUACCAAGAUUGCAAGGCAGCUUUGAAGGUCUGAGCGUUAGUAGUAAGAAAAUAGUUUCCUUCCGGAGCCUACGAGCAGGAGGUAUAAAGUUGCCACCUUCACCCGUCCAUAACCCACGAAAAUCUUGGGAUCUGCCUGCACCUCCGCCUCAGAUUCUAUGAUUAUAUAUGUUUCUGACUUUGUUCUCUGGAUGUGAUUCCCAAAAGGAAAGUCAUGUUCAAACUUGGCGACUCAAAAACAAGCCAAUUUCUUUCUUUCUUUCUUCUUCUUCUCUCUUUUUUUUUUUUUUUUUUUUUUUUUGGAGGUGCUUUGUUAAAAUAUUAACGAGGCAAUUUGAGGUGUUUCAGUCUAUGUAAUUUACGUACUUGAUUGAUUUAGAUAUGUGCAUGAUGGUCUUUUUCUA